rnacentral:rRNA from 1 species
GACGAACGCUGGCGGCGUGCUUAACACAUGCAAGUCGAACGAUGAAGCGGGUGCUUGCACUCGUGGAUUAGUGGCGAACGGGCGAGUAACACGUGAGUAACCUGUCCUUUUCUUUGGGAUAACGGCUGGAAAUGGCUGCUAAUACUGGAUAUUCAGGCUGCAUCGCAUGGUGUGGUUUGGAAAGGUUUUUUCUGGGAUUGGGUGGGCUCGCGGCCUAUCAGCUUGUUGGUGGGGUGAUGGCUUACCAAGGCUUUGACGGGUAGCCGGCCUGAGAGGGUGGUCGGUCGCACUGGGACUGAGAUACGGCCCAGACUCCUACGGGAGGCAGCAGUGGGGAAUAUUGCACAAUGGACGAAAGUUUGAUGCAGCGACGCCGCGUGGAGGGUGUAGGCCUUCGGGUUGUGAACUCCUUUUUCUCGCGAAAAAGGCACAGUUUUGGCUGUGUUGAUGGUAGUGGGGGAAGAAGCGCCGGCUAACUACGUG